rnacentral:siRNA from 1 species
GGCUCGGGGGUCCCAGUUCCG